ACUAUGUUUUACAAAUCGUUGUAAAAGUGUGACUAAUAAGAAGUAGAAGAUAUAUGAGAGAAGAAAAGGUGUUUCACAUACGGAACGUGAAUAAGAUAUAGAUCUCUGCGAAAGCAGAUAGUACUUACUUCCUCAUAUGAACUACCAAAGAAAUUGGAUUAUAGUAAUCUAAUUGAUUGUCUCUAUAGUAGAGAUAAUAUGGUAGUGUUAACUGUUUAGAAAAUAAUGAUGCUUAAAACCCAAAAGGUUGCAAGGUAGUGACUAAUCCCAACUAAAUUGUGAUACCUCUAAAACAUA
rnacentral:lncRNA from 1 species